AUUGAACGCUGGCGGCAUGCUUUACACAUGCAAGUCGAACGCGAAAGGGGGCAACCCUGAGUAGAGUGGCGCACGGGUGAGUAAUGCAUCGGAACGUGUCCUGUAAUGGGGGAUAACUUAGCGAAAGCUAGGCUAAUACCGCAUACGUCCUACGGGAGAAAGUGGGGGAUCGAAAGACCUCACGUUAUAGGAGCGGCCGAUGCCGGAUUAGCUAGUUGGUGAGGUAAAGGCUCACCAAGGCGACGAUCCGUAGCUGGUCUGAGAGGAUGA
rnacentral:rRNA from 1 species